GCCAGGCGCCCUGGGUUUGCCUGUAGUUCCAGCUACUCUGGAGGCUAAGGCAGAAGGAUCACUUGAGCCUAGAAGUUCUGGGCUGCAGUGCGCUACACUGUCCAGGUGUCUGCACUAAGUUGGGCUUGAAUAUGGUGACCUGUGGAAGCCAAGGGAUUACCACGUUGCCUAAGGAGGAGUAAACCAACCUAGGAGGGAAAUGGAGCAGGUCAAAACUGCCACACUGAUCGAGUAGCCACUGCACUCUAGCCUGGGCAACAUGAGACCUUGUCUUUG
rfam:Nomascus leucogenys chromosome 6, whole genome shotgun sequence.